rnacentral:tRNA from 1 species
AGAUUAUAAGUUUUUUAAAUAUUAGUAUGCAAUAUUAAAGUUCCCUUAUAGGAUAAUCUU